GAUGCAACGCGAAGAACCUUACCUACUCUUGACAUCCAGAGAACUUAGCAGAGAUGCUUUGGUGCCUUCGGGAACUCUGAGACAGGUGCUGCAUGGCUGUCGUCAGCUCGUGUUGUGAAAUGUUGGGUUAAGUCCCGCAACGAGCGCAACCCUUAUCCUUUGUUGCCAGCGGUUAGGCCGGGAACUCAAAGGAGACUGCCAGUGAUAAACUGGAGGAAGGUGGGGAUGACGUCAAGUCAUCAUGGCCCUUACGAGUAGGGCUACACACGUGCUACAAUGGCGCAUACAAAGAGAAGCGACCUCGCGAGAGCAAGCGGACCUCAUAAAGUGCGUCGUAGUCCGGAUUGGAGUCUGCAACUCGACUCCAUGAAGUCGGAAUCGCUAGUAAUCGUGGAUCAGAAUGCCACGGUGAAUACGUUCCCGGGCCUUGUACACACCGCCCGUCACACCAUGGGAGUGGGUUGCAAAAGAAGUAGGUAGCUUAACCUUCGGGAGG
rnacentral:rRNA from 1 species